UAUUGCUUCGGCAGUGCAUAUACUAAAAUUAGGGCGAUACAGAGAAGAUUAGCAUGGCCACUGCGCAAGGAUGACGCGCAAAUUCGUGAAGCAUUCCAUAGUUUU